ACAGGCAGAGGGAGAAGCAGGCUCCCUGCGGGGAGUCCGAUGCGAGACUUGAUCCCAGGACCCCGGGAUCACGCCCUGAGCAGAAGGCAGAUGCUCACCCACUGAGCCCCCCGGCUGCCCCAGCCAUGGGUAUUUGUAUCUGAUGCCCUGUGAUGCUCCUGUGACCCGAGGAGCUCCCGCUCGGCUUGUUUGUUCAGGGCUCCAAUGUCUGCCUGGCUUUCUAGUUAAGUCUCUGUGCUCAACAUCACCAAGAUGCUGGACCCAAAGCCUAAAAUAUAAUGCAGAGCUUGGACGCUGAAGCUCACACAGCAGAAACACACCGGGGCAUAGGCAGUUCAAUGGAAGUAGUGGAUCUUGGGGUGACAACAGGCCCCACUGCUUGGUCACCUUAGCUUUGGUGCUAACCUUGAUUUUGUGUAUGUUUCUUUAAGUUCUAUUUUAAUGCUUCAGAAGCUUAAACAGGAAAAACAGGGAGCAGUUCUGAGAAGUAUUUUCACGUGAGGAUCUAAACACAGGGGUAACAACGGUGGCGGCUCAUCCCUCCUCUUCCAGGCCAGGCUUACACGUGUGCUGAGACACUGAUGCCCUCGGGCCUGGGGUGGCCACUCAGGUCCUGAGUGGCCUCCUCCAGUGACCCUGGCGUGCUGCACAGGUGUCUGAACUUUCCAGAUGUGGUCUGCACGCAUGAAGACGGAUGGCACAGAUGGUUCCAGGCCACACACACACAUACCCAGUUCUUACAGACCUCGAUCACCCCAGCAAGGACUUCUCGAAGCCAGAUUUCUCGUGGCUGCCAGCUUUCAGCUCCUGCUGACGCCCGCCUGGGACCUUCCAGUCGACAAUUCCUUCCGCCAUCCGAACGCUGCAGCAGCCGUGUGCGCUGCUCUAUGUUCUGUUGUCUGUCUCCAAGAGCUGCUGUGGGAUCAACACGCUCAGGCCUCAUGACAACCUUUAGGAUGCCUGAUUUAGGAACUCCUCAGAUGUUUAGAAAGGUAUCCUGGGAAUAUACUUCUAGUGCCAGCAAGCUUGACUGGCCAAGAACAGAGAGAAUAUUCCAUGAAAGAAGAACCAUCCCUUUUCCUGGCUUCUUGCCAGACCCCACAGGGAACUGGGUCAGCUGAACUGUCUCUAGCCCAAUGCAGUCUCUCCUUGUCAGUGUCCCAAAGUGUUACAUGGCAACAGUGGAAUAAUAGAUGGCUUUCAUCUUUGAAGGAGACGCAACGUUAUGGAGUCUUCCAAAAUUUUUCAGCAUUCCUUAGGAUUUUGCAACAGAGAGGAAUGAAAAGUGAUUCAAAGCAGGACAUCAUUUGUUGCAGACACUACUGCUUUCACAAUUCCACCUCACCUUUCGAAUAUUCUUAGUGGACCACUGUGUAAGCCUAACGAAGUGAAUACAUUUUGACAAGGAUGUGCACAAGACAACUUCAAAUGCAAGUGAUCUCUACACCCAAUGUGGGGUUUCAACUUACAACCCUGAGAUCAAGAGCCACAUGGUUUACCAACUGAGCCAGCCAGGUGCCUCCAUGUGGUGCAGGGCAGCACUAAAUUGUUCAAAGAAUGAGGAAGCCACAGAUGUACCGCUGAAUGAGGCGUUAACUCGCGGCAGAUGAAUGCAGAUGGGACACAGAGGGUGUGCUUUUUUGUUGAUGAUGAGUGCAAAUGCUGAAUAAUGAAUGCAAUAAAAAUUAGA